rnacentral:rRNA from 1 species
AUACGGAGGGUGCAAGCGUUACUCGGAAUCACUGGGCGUAAAGCGCGCGCAGGCGGUCUUUUAAGUUGGAUGUGAAAGCCUACGGCUCAACCGUAGAACUGCAUCCAAAACUAUUAGACUAGAGUGUGGGAGAGGAAGAUGGAAUUAGUUGUGUAGGGGUAAAAUCCGUAGAGACAACUAGGAAUACCAAAAGCGAAGGCGAUCUUCUGGAACAGUACUGACGCUGAGGCGCGAAAGCGUGGGGAGCAAACAGGAUUAGAAACCCCAGUAGUCC